CUUGCAAACUGGAGAUGGCGACCGGCGCACGGGUGAGUAACACGUAUCCAACCUGCCGUCUACUCUUGGACAGCCUUCUGAAAGGAAGAUUAAUACAAGAUGGCAUCAUGAGUUCACAUGUUCACAUGAUUAAAGGUAUUCCGGUAGACGAUGGGGAUGCGUUCCAUUAGAUAGUAGGCGGGGUAACGGCCCACCAAGGCAACGAUGGGUAGCCGGUCUGAGAGGAUGACCGGCCACAUUGGAACUGAGACACGGUCCAAACUCC
rnacentral:rRNA from 1 species